UGCAGUCGAACGAAGUAGCAAUACUUAGUGGCAGACGGGUGAGUAACAUGUGGGUAUCUACCCUUUGGCCUGGAAUAACACGAGGAAACUUGUGCUAAUACCGGAUAAGUCUUUACGGAGAAAGCUUUAUGCACCAUUGGAUGAGCCCGCACUUGAUUAGUUUGUUGGUAGGGUAAUGGCCUACCAAGACUAUGAUCAAUAGCUGAUUUGAGAGGAUGAUCAGCCACAUUGGGACUGAGACACGGCCCAAACUCCUACGGGAGGCAGCAGUGGGGAAUCUUGCACAAUGGAGGAAACUCUGAUGCAGCGAUGCCGCGUGAGUGAAGAAGGCCCUUGGGUUGUAAAGCUCUUUCGUCGGGGAAGAAAAUGACUGUACCCGAAUAAGAAGGUCCGGCUAACUUCGUGCCAGCAGCCGCGGUAAUACGAAGGGACCUAGCGUAGUUCGGAAUUACUGGGCUUAAAGAGUUCGUAGGUGGUUGAAAAAGUUGGUGGUGAAAUCCCAGAGCUUAACUCUGGAACUGCCAUCAAAACUUUUCAGCUAGAGUAUGAUAGAGGAAAGCAGAAUUUCUAGUGUAGAGGUGAAAUUCGUAGAUAUUAGAAAGAAUACCAAUUGCGAAGGCAGCUUUCUGGAUCAUUACUGACACUGA
rnacentral:rRNA from 1 species